AACGCUAGCUACAGGCUUAACACAUGCAAGUCGAGGGGCAGCAUGGUCUUAGCUUGCUAAGGCCGAUGGCGACCGGCGCACGGGUGAGUAACGCGUAUCCAACCUGCCGUCUACUCUUGGACAGCCUUCUGAAAGGAAGAUUAAUACAAGAUGGCAUCAUGAGUCCGCAUGUUCACAUGAUUAAAGGUAUUCCGGUAGACGAUGGGGAUGCGUUCCAUUAGAUAGUAGGCGGGGUAACGGCCCACCUAGUCUUCGAUGGAUAGGGGUUCUGAGAGGAAGGUCCCCCACAUUGGAACUGAGACACGGUCCAAACUCCUACGGGAGGCAGCAGUGAGGAAUAUUGGUCAAUGGGCGCAGGCCUGAACCAGCCAAGUAGCGUGAAGGAUGACUGCCCUAUGGGUUGUAAACUUCUUUUAUAAAGGAAUAAAGUCGGGUAUGUAUACCCGUUUGCAUGUACUUUAUGAAUAAGGAUCGGCUAACUCCGUGCCAGCAGCCGCGGUAAUACGGAGGAUCCGAGCGUUAUCCGGAUUUAUUGGGUUUAAAGGGAGCGUAGAUGGAUGUUUAAGUCAGUUGUGAAAGUUUGCGGCUCAACCGUAAAAUUGCAGUUGAUACUGGAUAUCUUGAGUGCAGUUGAGGCAGGCGGAAUUCGUGGUGUAGCGGUGAAAUGCCUAGAUAUCACGAAGAACUCCGAUUG
rnacentral:rRNA from 1 species